rnacentral:rRNA from 1 species
AUUGAACGCUGGCGGCAGGCUUAACACAUGCAAGUCGAACGAGUGGCGGACGGGUGAGUAAUAUCUGGGAAACUGCCCGAUAGAGGGGGAUAACUACUCGAAAGGGUGGCUAAUACCGCAUACUAUCAGCUCUGCCCAUAUGGGAUUAGCUAGUUGGUGGGGUAAGGGCUCACCAAGGCAACGAUCCCUAGCUGGUUUGAGAGGAGGACCAGCCACACUGGAACUGAGAAACGGCCCAGACUCCUACGGGAGGCAGCAGUGGGGAAUUUUGGACAAUGGGCGAAAGCCUGAUGCAGCCAUGCCGCGUGUAUGAAGAAGGCCUUCGGGUUGUAAAGUACUUUUGGCAGGGAGGCGUUACCUGCAGAAGAAGCACCGGCUAACUACGUGCCAGCAGCCGCGGUAAUAC